GGGGAUGUACUGGUUUCGACGGGGGUAGAUGUGGUGUGAUAAGCGAGCUGGGAUUCCAUCAACCCCAUUAAACGGUGGAAACGCGUUAUAAACGCAGACGAUUCUUACGCUUUAGCAGCUUAAAUUGCUAACGUUCCUUUCUUUCAUUCCUGCUGAAAGAGAGUGAACGACACUUGCAGGAUACCCGGCAGCCAAUUCUCGGAGGCUGCUGUGGGAAAUCCAUCGAGAUAGCGACUGAUUAGCCCGCCAAUAGGCGAUGAUGCCGCGAAAUAAAGUAUGUUGGAUGCGCUCGGAGAAAGUUGCAUUGCAAUGCUUUCGGACAGGGGUUCGACUCCCCUCAUCUCCACCA
rnacentral:sRNA from 1 species